ACGGUCACAGGCAGCCGCCUGUCUCCUCCAGUGGUAAGACGGCAUCAAUCCAGCUGAUAAAGGCCAGUCUGAGAAGGUCAUAAAGAGAAGUCAUCAAGAGUACAGACAAUUGCUAUCAUCCGAGAUAAAGUUUAAGUCUUCAUUUCAGUCAGCUGGUUGGGAAAAAGGUGGUGGAAGUUCCUGAAAUUUCUGAAACAAAAGACAAGGCUGAAGAUAGAUGUCUACACGCAAAGGGAAGCUGGGACAGAGUGAGAGAGCAGCACUGACAUAUAUACACGACCAACUGUAAAACGGAUAGCUCGUGGGAAGCUGCUGCAUAACACAGGGAGAUCAACUCGAUGA